UACGUGGGGGGCGAGCGUUGUUCGGAAUUAUUGGGCGUAAAGGGCGCGUAGGCGGUUUGGUAAGUCUUGUGUGAAAUCUACAGGCUCAACUUGUAGUCUGCACGAGAAACUGCCGGGCUUGAGUGUGGGAGAGGUGAGUGGAAUUCCUGGUGUAGCGGUGAAAUGCGUAGAUAUCAGGAGGAACACCUGUGGCGAAAGCGGCUCACUGGACCAUAACUGACGCUGAUGCACGAAAGCUAGGGGAGCAAACAGG
rnacentral:rRNA from 1 species